UACGUAGGGAGCAAGCGUUACUCGGAAUCACUGGGCAUAAAGGGCGUGUAGGCGGACGCGUAAGUCCGGUGUGAAAUCCCUCGGCUCAACCGAGGACAGCCACCGGAUACUGCGUGUCUCGAGUGUGGAAGGGGAGAGUGGAACUCUUGGUGGAGCGGUGAAAUGCGUAGAUAUCAAGAGGAACGCCGGUGGCGAAAGCGGCUCUCUGGUCCAUAACUGACGCUGAGGCGCGAAAGCUAGGGGAGCAAAC
rnacentral:rRNA from 1 species